GGCUUAUCUUCUGACUUUAGGGUUUCUGUUUCUUCUCCCCUCUUCCUUGCAUUUCUCUAGGGUUUUUCACUUUCCCCCAUCAUCUUUGUAUAAUCCGAAGCAAUGAGUCGUCAUCCUGAGGUGAAAUGGGCCCAGAGACUGGACAAGGUCUUUAUCACUGUACAACUUCCCGACUCAAAGGAUUCUAAGGUUAAUCUUGAGCCGGAUGGAGUAUUCACUUUCUCUGGCAGUGCUGGUUCAGAGAAUCACCAUUAUGAACUGAAGUUGGAGCUUUUCGAUAAAGUUAAUGUUGAGGAAAGUAAAGUUAACAUUGGAGUUCGGAGCAUAUUCUGUAUCCUAGAAAAGGCAGAGAAGGGAUGGUGGAAAAAGCUAUUGCGUGGAGAUGGAAAGCCACCCCACUAUGUCAAAGUAGAUUGGGACAAAUGG
rnacentral:misc_RNA from 1 species